AGACGUGAUCACCCGCUGAACUUAAGCAUAUCAUUUAGCGGAGGAAAAGAAACUAACAAGGGAUUCCCUUAGUAACGGCGAGUGAAA
rnacentral:rRNA from 1 species